UUUAAACAGCGGUGCAACACCCCCACAUUUCCCCCCUAUUUCCUUUCUUAUUUCCAUUUAUUCCCCCAAUUAUUUUCCCCUAUUUCCCCUAACAUUGCCCAUUAUUUCCCCUUAUUUCCCCCAUUAUUUCCCCUAUUUCCCCAUUAUUUCCCCCAUUUCCCCAUUAUUUCCCAUUAUUUCCCCCAUUAUCCCCCAUUAUUUCCCCUAUUUCCAAUCAUUAUUCCCCCCUAUUCCCCUUAUUUCCCCCAUUAUUUUCCCCAUUUCCCCCAUUAUUUCCCCCAUUUCCCCAUUAUUUCCCCCCAUUUCCCCUAUUUCCCCAUUUACUUUCCCGCCAUUUCCCCUGUUUUCCCCCAAUUAAUCCCCCAUUUCCCUCCAUUAUUUCCCCAUUUCCCCCCUACUUCCCCCUUAUUUCCCCCUUAAUUUCCCCUAUUUACCCCCAUUUCCCCCCUAAUUUCCCCUAUUUCCCAGUAUUCCCCCAUUUCCCCCUAUUUCCCCCUUUAAUUUCCCCAUUUCCCCCCAUUUCCCUCCUUAAUUUCCCAUUUCCCAUUGUUUCCCCCAUUCCCCCCUAUUUCCCUUAAUUUCCCCUAUUUCCCCCAUUCUCUCUUAAUUUCCGGCCUAUUUCCCCCAUUAUUUCCCCCAUUCCCAUUAUUUGCCCCCUUAUUUCCCUAUUUCCGCCAUUAUUUCCCCUAUUCCCCCUUAUUUCCCCCUUUAAUUUCCCCUAUUUCCCCCCAUUUCCCUCUAAUUUCCCCUAUUUCCCCCAUUAUUCCCCGCCAUUUUCCCCCAUUACUUCCCCUAUUUCCCCCAUACUUCCCUAUUUCCCCCCUAAUUUCCCCUAUUUCCCCCAUUACUUUCCCUAUUUUCCCCCAUUUUACCCCAUUUCUCAGCCCUUCGGCCAUAUACCACGUCAAUGGAAGAGGCAGAAAUGGACUGGGAAGACCCCAAACCAACUGGGAUUGAACUGGGAAGACCCCAAAUAGACUGGGAUUGAACUGGGAAGACCCCAAACCAACUGGGAUUGAACUGGGAAGACCCCAAAUAGACCUUGGGAUUGAACUGGGAAGACCCAAA
rnacentral:lncRNA from 1 species